rnacentral:lncRNA from 1 species
UGCUGUGUGUGUGGUGUGUGUCGUGUUGUGUGGUGUGUGUGGUGUGUGUGUCAUGUGGUGUGUGUGUGGUGUGUGUGGUGUGUGUGGUGUGUGUUUGUCGUGUGUUGUGUGUGUGUGGUGUGUGUGUUGUGUGUGUGUUGUGUGUGUGGUGUGGGUUUCAUUCAUUGGAUGGAUAUUGAGCCUCUCUCUCCCUUUGGGGCUCCUGCUCACCCCUGGCUUGGGGAGUUUCUCGGGGUGUUUCUCUGAGCACCUCUGGUCCCUUCCUCUGACUCUGAUCUCCUAGUUUAUUUAACUCGUGGGGCUGCCUCGACGGAUUUCUGCAUUUUUCUUAUCCCUUUUCUCCUGUUUUCAGUUUUUCUUGGUACUUGGA